CUGUGUUCCUGUUUUACCCCCACCCAUUCUAUGCUGCCACACAGUAAAUUUCCCAGUGUUAAAUCAGCAGUGUUAAAGUGUAUUUACUCUAAUAGAGUCAUUAUAACGACAGCUGGAGCAAAACGCCUCCCAGUGUGGGUGAUAAUUCGCGGAGUUAAAAAACGCAGUGUCAAUGUUACACUAGAAAGCUCCUCCCACCACAGACUCCUUUUCAAACUGAGAGGAUUUUUCACGGCGCCAUUUUCUUCACAUCAGUUACACGUAGUUCGAUGAAGAGCACUGACUAUAAGAAAUUACUGUCUACAGGAAGCAUGCCAGAGGAAUUGUAACCUUUUUCCCUUACCUCAGUGGCCCUUACUCCAAAAAUGGCUAUUGUCUGUACAUGUCACUCUCCAAGGAACAUUAUUAUGAUGGCGAGAGUGGCACUGGGUACUUGGCCUGGAGGAUUAAAACCAUACAGAGAUGCACCGCUAAAGGGAGGCGAUUAUCAUCUGGAGCACCAGGAGAUGGAUCAUCGAGUGAAGACCAGUGUGGUGGACCAACUGUCAGACGAGAGUUGCAGUUUGUUACAGAGAAGGUGCUGAGUGAGAAUGAGUGCAAGGAUACAAUCUCUCUGAUGAAACAUUCAGCUGAUGAAGACACAGUCAAGAAGAAGAUGAAGUUGACAUUUGUUUAUCAACACAGCAUGGUCCUUGACCUCCUGCUGUCAAGCAACAUACUGUCUGUUUUCCACGUUUCAAAGAUCUCAAAGGCUUGAUCGAACAGGAUUUUGUACUGAUGUUUGGUGAGGAUGUAUCAGGCAGGUUGCUGGAGAGGUGGCCAACAGCAUUCAAAAGAAAGAUUAUCCAACAAGGCAGAAAGCUUCCUUCUACCAGUGACCUGAAAGAACUCUUGCUGGCAGCUGACUCACCUGAGGAUGCCACUGAAGUUAAUGCUGACAUUGGCUGGGACAGUGGGACAGGUGGGACAAUAGCAAUUUAUUGCUAUUACAUCUGAUUCCAUCAUCUGGUCAGGGUCGGAAGAGACCAGGGAAGGUGUCAGCUUCUCAAGCAGAAAGGCAUCUUGUGGUCUUCAAGAAGACUGGAACAAAUAUCCAAGAGCACCUUGAUGCCGUCACUACCAGCACUCAACCCGACCUCCUGGCUGUUGGGGUGAAAAGAAUGACAUCCACUGGUUCUUCAUUAUUCUUGACAAGAAUGCCAUGCCAUGCAAGUCUACCUCUUCACUUGGUUCUUUUGAUGAACUGUUUAAAGCACAUUUUGUGUUUGGCACAUCUUACAACACUAUGCUUCACAACAUGUACACGUUCAUCCAAACCACAGGUUUUAGAAAACAUUUAAAUACCAAACACCUUAACUAUUUUGACCAACAGGCUGACGCUGAUGUUAAUCUACAGCCUGAUGUGGCAGUUAAAGAAGUUAGCACUACAGGGGAGGUGAUGUCAACUAAUGUAGAAGAAACACACCCACAACAUCUGAAAAGGUCAAAUAAGAGCACUUUGGAUAUGUGUGCCUCUGCUGUUGCACAACUCAGGGCAGCUGGAUUAAGCCAAUCUACUGUGAAUAGUUUUGUCUCCUCAAUGGAGGAAGUGUUUUUUGAGAUUCAUACUCAGGCUAAAGAUGCAGCCUUACAGAGUGUACCUUUACAGGACACCACAAGUAAAAAUAAAUAUAAUAGUAAUAAAAUAAAGCAUUGGGAGUCCUUUAGCCUUGAAAGAUUAGCUUUAGGACCAGGAAAGAUGGUGACACUUGGAGAGCUGGAAGAAGGUCCAGAAAUUGCUUGGAGCUGUGUUUGUUUUCAGCUAAGUGGAUAAUAACACACGGUACAGAGUACUGCCCUGACUUUAUCAUCUGUACAGAUGUAGUGUCUGAGAUUCCGGUUUUUUGUAAGAUCAAAAGUAUUGUUGUGAAAGAUGACAUUGUAUUGCUCU
ensembl:lncRNA